rnacentral:rRNA from 1 species
UACAUGGGGUGCAAACGUUGCUCGGAAUCAUUGGGCGUAAAGCGCGCGUAGGCGGUUACUUAAGUUGGAUGUGAAAGCCCUCGGCUUAACUGAGGAAGUGCAACCGAAACUGAGUAGCUAGAGUACGAAAGAGGGUCGCGGAAUUCCCGGUGUAGAGGUGAAAUUCGUAGAUAUCGGGAGGAACACCGGUGGCGAAGGCGGCGACCUGGGUCGAGACUGACGCUGAGGCGCGAAAGCGUGGGGAGCAAACAGG